UGGCUCUCGCAUCGAUGAAGAACGCAGCGAAAUGCGAUAAGUAAUGUGAAUUGCAGAAUUCAGUGAAUCAUCGAAUCUUUGAACGCAUCUUGCGCUCCUUGGUAUUCCGAGGAGCAUGCCUGUUUGAGUGUCAUUAAAUUCUCAACCUCUACUUGGCUUUGCAGUCAGUUUAGGCUUGGAUAUGGGGUUUUUUUGCAGGCUUAUUUCAAAGUCUGCUCCCCUGAAAUAUAUUAGCGGUACUCUAGUGGUUAACGGCUAUUGGUGUGAUAAAUAUCUAUGCCAUUCAAGUCAUUCCAUGUUUUUAACGAGUUAUGCUGCUUUCUAACCGUCCUUGAAUUUGGACAAAAGAAAAAUGAUCAAUUUUGACCUCAAAUCAGGUAGGACUACCCGCUGA
rnacentral:misc_RNA from 1 species